rnacentral:rRNA from 1 species
UACGUAUGGUGCAAGCGUUAUCCGGAUUUACUGGGUGUAAAGGGAGCGCAGGCGGCACAGCAAGCCUGAUGUGAAAGCCCGCGGCCCAACCGCGGGACUGCAUUGGGAACUACCGGGCUGGAGUGCCGGAGAGGUAGGCGGAAUUCCUAGUGUAGCGGUGAAAUGCGUAGAUAUUAGGAGGAACACCAGUGGCGAAGGCGGCCUACUGGACGGUGACUGACGCUGAGGCUCGAAAGCGUGGGGAGCAAACAGG